AACUUAGAUGUACUUUUACACACACAUCCGCCCGGGUACUACGAGCACAGCUUAAAACCCAAAGGACUUGGCGGUGUCUCAGACCCACCUAGAGGAGCCUGUUCUAGAACCGAUAACCCCCGUUAAACCUCACCACUUCUUGUUUUCCCCGCCUAUAUACCGCCGUCGUCAGCUUACCCUGUGAAGGCCUAACAGUAAGCAAAAUGGGCCCGCCCAAAAACGUCAGGUCGAGGUGUAGCGCACGAAGUGGGAAGAAAUGGGCUACAUUUUCUACAACAGAAUAUUACGAAUGGCACUCUGAAACAAAUGCCUGAAGGUGGAUUUAGUAGUAAAAAGCAAAUAGAGCGUCCUUUUGAAUUAGGCUCUGAGACGCGCACACACCGCCCGUCACUCUCCCCUCACAUAUUAAACCCAAACCUAACAUUCCUAAUUAGAUAUUUUCUAACGCGGGGAGGCAAGUCGUAACAUGGUAAGUGUACCGGAAGGUGCACUUGGAAUAAUCA
rnacentral:rRNA from 1 species